AUAUAUAUAUACACACAUAUACUAAAAUUGGAAUGAUACAAAAAUGAUUAGCGUGGUCUCUGCACAAGGAUGAGACUCAAAUUCUUGAAGUGUUUUGUUUUUUU
ensembl:snRNA U6 U6 spliceosomal RNA